GUGCUCGCUUCAGCAAGCACAUGUACUAAAAUUGGACCGAUACAGAGAACACUAGCAUGGCCCCUGCUCAAGGGUGACCCAAACUGGUGAAGGGUUCCAUGUUUCU
rfam:Myotis brandtii contig158489, whole genome shotgun sequence.